rnacentral:rRNA from 1 species
UUUGAUCAUGGCUCAGAACGUACGCUGGCGGCACGCCUAACACAUGCAAGUCGAACGAAGUAGCAAUACUUAGUGGCAGACGGGUGAGUAACAUGUGGGUAUCUGCCCUUUGGCCUGGAAUAACACGAGGAAACUUGUGCUAAUACCGGAUAAGUCUUUACGGAGAAAGCUUUAUGCACCAUUGGAUGAGCCCGCACUUGAUUAGUUUGUUGGUGGGGUAAUGGCCUACCAAGACUGUGAUCAAUAGCUGAUUUGAGAGGAUGAUCAGCCACAUUGGGACUGAGACACGGCCCAAACUCCUACGGGAGGCAGCAGUGGGGAAUCUUGCACAAUGGAGGAAACUCUGAUGCAGCGAUGCCGCGUGAGUGAAGAAGGCCUUUGGGUUGUAAAGCUCUUUCGUCGGGGAAGAAAAUGACUGUACCCGAAUAAGAAGGUCCGGCUAACUUCGUGCCAGCAGCCGCGGUAAUACGAAGGGACCUAGCGUAGUUCGGAAUUACUGGGCUUAAAGAGUUCGUAGGUGGUUGAAAAAGUUGGUGGUGAAAUCCCAGAGCUUAACUCUGGAACUGCCAUCAAAACUUUUCGGCUAGAGUUUGAUAGAGGAAAGCAGAAUUUCUAGUGUAGAGGUGAAAUUCGUAGAUAUUAGAAAGAAUACCAAUUGCGAAGGCAGCUUUCUGGAUCAUUACUGACGCUGAGGAACGAAAGCAUGGGUAGCGAAGAGGAUUAGAUACCCUCGUAGUCCAUGCCGUAAACGAUGUGUGUUAGACGUUGGAAAUUUAUUUUCAGUGUCGCAGCGAAAGCGAUAAACACACCGCCUGGGGAGUACGACCGCAAGGUUAAAACUCAAAUGAAUUGACGGGGACCCGCACAAGUAGUGGAGCAUGUGGUUUAAUUCGAAGAUACGCGCAGAACCUUACCAACACUUGACAUGUUCGUCGCGACUUUAAGAGAUUAAAGUUUUCGGUUCGGCCGGACGAAACACAGGUGCUGCAUGGCUGUCGUCAGCUCGUGUCGUGAGAUGUUGGGUUAAGUCCCGCAACGAGCGCAACCCUCACUUUUAGUUGCCAUCAUUUAGUUGGGCACUCUGAAAGAACUGCCAGUGAUAAGCUGGAGGAAGGUGGGGAUGACGUCAAGUCCUCAUGGCCCUUACGUGUUGGGCUACACACGUGCUACAAUGGCAUUUACAAUAGGAAGCAAGAUGGCGACGUCAAGCAAAUCCUAAAAAGAUGCCUCAGUUCGGAUUGUACUCUGCAACUCGAGUACAUGAAGCUGGAAUUACUAGUAAUCGCGGAUCAGCGCGCCGCGGUGAAUACGUUCCCGGGUCUUGUACACACCGCCCGUCACACCAUGGGAGUUGGUUCUACCUUAAGGCAAGGUUUUAAACCCUUGACCACGGUAUAGUCAGCGACUGGGGUGAAGUCGUAACAAGGUAGCCGUA